GCCAGGCGUGGUGGUGCACACCUGUAAUCCCAGCAACUCAGGAGGCUGAGGCUGAAAGAUUGCAAGUUCAAAACCAGCCUCAG
rnacentral:sRNA from 1 species